CCCCCGAAGAAUUCUCCUGAGUAUGCGCAGUUUGUUUCCCUUUCCUGAACGCAUGCGUGAAGAAGAACAAUGAACAUGUGGCACGAGUCGAAAACAACAAAGAGGAAUGGCUGGGUGGAUCUAGCGAACGAUAGUUUCCCAUUUGCCUCUGUUAGAACUAUUUUGUCCUCGUGUUAUCCCAAGUAAUGUGCUUAAAAAACUGUAAAAAGAACCUGACAACUGAAUGACUUGGUGGCUCACGUAUUUAAACGAACUUACCUUAAAAUGUCGGUAAAGUAAGUUAAGCCAUGUUUAACCCAAAACUUUGUGUACCGAUGUAAAUAUGGUUUUUCUGAUUGUAUUCUUAGCUUGAAGGAUGUUUUAAACAGAGGUAAUUUUAACCAUUGUAAAUACAGUAAGAAGAUUCAGAAAAUUGCUGUUGUAGUAAGUAGUCAGUUGUUGAAAUCUUGUUGAACUGCUCAAUGUAAAAUAUUUCGUCUGUUUUGACGCUUAUGGUCUACUUAGGACGAUUCAAUUUCUGUAUUAGGUGUAGUAGACAAAAGUAUUGUUUCAGCAUUUUGAUUCACAUUGGUUUAAUUUUAUUUUCAGAACUUCAUGAACCAUUUCUUAAAAAAUGGAAUUUAGUUAGCUGUCCAGUUUACUUCAGUCUUACACUUUAAAGUAUAGAAUCAAAAUUCUUCAGAGCUGUAUUAGUCCACAGAUAUGGAAUACAACAUGCUUCAGCUUCAAUACAGCCACUGAUGUCGAAUACUCUGAAAUUUGAGAUAUGAUAGGCAGCUGUCACGUUGUAUUUCAAAGAAAAUAUAAUCAACCAAGAUGAACAUAGACAAGUGCCAUUUCCUUAUGGUUCCUCUGAAUUAUCACUACGUACGUGGAUAGAAUAUUUCUCGUCGGCCCAGUAUUUUGCCUCGAAUAUAUACCGUGACUCAUAUCUCAAACACGGAUAUCAGCCUCUGAGGCAUUAUUAAUUUCUUAGUGGACCCAGCAGUAUUUGCAUUUUCUUAUUUGUUAAAUGAAGAUGCGUAGGCGAGAAAAUAAACCGAAUAGGGAGACUGAUCGAUCACGGACACAAUACUGGCCCUUGAUAGUCACUACACCGCACGACAUUGCAUUAAAUGAUAUGUUUAUUCGGUUGACUCAAAUACUUUUCAAUGGAUUCAGCGUCAACUAUGAUAAUAAAACUAUGAUAAUAAAAAGAAAGUUUGAAAUA